rnacentral:rRNA from 1 species
UGGGGAAUAUUGCACAAUGGGCGAAAGCCUGAUGCAGCGACGCCGCGUGAGGGAUGGAGGCCUUCGGGUUGUAAACCUCUUUCGCUCAUGGUCAAGCCGCAACAGUGGUUGUGGUGAGGGUAGUGGGUAAAGAAGCACCGGCUAACUACGUGCCAGCAGCCGCGGUAAUACGUAGGGUGCGAGCGUUGUCCGGAAUUAUUGGGCGUAAAGGGCUUGUAGGCGGUUUGUCGCGUCUGCCGUGAAAUCCUCUGGCUUAACUGGGGGCGUGCGGUGGGUACGGGCAGGCUUGAGUGCGGUAGGGGAGACUGGAACUCCUGGUGUAGCGGUGGAAUGCGCAGAUAUCAGGAAGAACACCGGUGGCGAAGGCGGGUCUCUGGGCCGUUACUGACGCUGAGGAGCGAAAGCGUGGGGAGCGAACAGGAUUAGAUACCCUGGUAGUCCACGCUGUAAACGUUGGGCACUAGGUGUGGGGGCCACCCGUGGUUUCUGCGCCGUAGCUAACGCUUUAAGUGCCCCGCCUGGGGAGUACGGNCNAAGGCUA